AGAAGAUGCUAUACUGUUCAAAGUUUGAGUCAAGAAGUUCCAGAAGCCCUGAAUGCCUGAUCUGUAAAAUGGGGAUGUACUACAUUUUCAGACAGUUACUGAUAGGAUUGGGUGACAGAGGAAACCACCCAGCACCACACCUGAUUCAUUCUUGCUCUUCUCAAUUGUGUGAGAGCAGGAGGUUGGUGAGGGGCAAUGCACACAGAAAGGACCGUGCCCUGUCCAGAGGCAUGCCACUUUCCUAAUUUGUCCACUCUGGUGAAACCUUAUAUCUCUUGGAUGGAUUCUUAUGUUACAUUAUCUUGGUUCAGACUUUCAUCCUUUCCUUCUCAAAUUUCUUGAAAGUUCCUCAGAACUCAC
rnacentral:lncRNA from 1 species